rnacentral:rRNA from 1 species
UACGUAGGGACGAGCGUUGUCCGGAAUUACUGGGCGUAAAGAGCUCGUAGGUGGUUUGUCACGUCGUCUGUGAAAUUCCGGGGCUUAACCUCGGGCGUGCAGGCGAUACGGGCAAUACUUGAGUGCUGUAGGGGAGACUGGAAUUCCUGGUGUAGCGGUGAAAUGCGCAGAUAUCAGGAGGAACACCGAUGGCGAAGGCAGGUCUCUGGGCAGUAACUGACGCUGAGGAGCGAAAGCAUGGGUAGCGAACAGGAUUAGAUACCCCGGUA